GGGGCGCGCCGCGAGCGCCGCCGCCGGCGCUUCUCCAUCCUCCCCAGCCUUCCCCCGCCGCCGGCGGAGAUUCGGGUAGCUCGGCGCCCGCUCCCCGCGGGGGGGCCCCGUAAGCAGGGAAGGAAGGAGGCGCCGGCGUCCGCCAGGAGCGCCGAGCCCCGCCGCAUCCUCCCGGCGCCCGUUCACUUACGCGCCGCUCCCGAGCCCCCCGCCCGCCUUCCCACGGCCCGGGGGCUGCGGCCGCCCCGGUAACGCCGCAACCCUCUCGCGGCCCCUGCGGCUUCGCGUCAAAGUUUAAUGCGCGCACCUGCCCGCAGCCCGGCCCUCCCGCGCAGCCCGGCCGCAGCGCUUAGUCACCGCGCUCGGGAGGGCAUCGCGCGGAGGUCCCGGCCGCCCCUUACCGGCGAUGCGCAGCACGGCCCGCUCGGCCGGGUCCAGCACGGAGCCGCCGUGGAUCUUCCGCUUGGAACGCUCGUGCUUGGGCAGGUUCCAGGGCAGCGUGUCCCCCGGCGCCGGCGACCCCGUGCCCGACUUCUGGCUGAGGUCCUCCUCCUCGGAGAGAUCGGCGGAGGACGACAUGGAGCAGCGGGUGAGGAAGGAAGCGGAGAGGUCGGAACGAUGGGGUUGCACGGCAGAGCUGAGGAUGAGAAUGCAGCGCACCUACACGGGUCACCAGGGCAGGAGGGAGCGCUGCUGGGGCCUCUCCUCCGUGCCUUCUCUCUGCAGAGAUGUGAUGCCUGCAGGGGACGGGCGACAGCCACAGCGACAUCUGCGAUUUGGGAUUCAAGAUGGGCGCUACCACGUUCGCCCUUUGAAAACACAGCCAGAUGUGGGCCCAGGCACUGUAUUCGGUUUUUAGGGCUAUGCCAGCCUCGGCUGGGAGAGGCACACACCUUUGGGCACUUGGCAGCCCUCAUCCAGCCCAUACAGGCUCCAGGCUGUUGGAUACUAAACGUGCCUAUGUUUUAGGCCUGCCUGGGAGCCCUCUUACUUAGGACGUGCCUUGAAAUCCAUGUGGCUCUGCUUACAGGAGAAAUCUGUGCUGUGAAUGAAUUCUGAUAAAAUUCCUUGCUGCUGUCUGAGCGGCUCUCUUAUCGGCACUCAUGGGAUGGGCAAAUGAGCCGUUAUUAUUACAUCAGGGCUAUUUACCCUUUAAAAAACACAUGAUUCAGAGAAGCAAUAUGAUGCACGAUGUGCUACACGCAGAACUGCCAAUAACAGAAAUGAUCUGCUCAGUGAGGUUCCCUCAUUUGAAGAAGGAGUCUCCCGUAUAAAAGAAGGGGAUCUCUUAUUCCUGGAUGCUUUGCUGACCUUGUUCACUGCUAUGCCAAGCCUCUAUUCUCCCUCUAUUGCUGGAUGGCAAAGUCCAGAGGGCAGGGAGGGAAGGGAUGGAUGCAUGCGAACAACUGACUGAAUUCUUGAUCGCUGUAUAGCAAAGAAGAAACAGCAUGAGGCAGCACGGGAGAAUAGGGUUCCUGUGGCCUGUCCACAGCUCCACACUGUGCAACAACAGUGUUCCCUGCAAUCCCAGCAUCUUGCUUUGGGCCUGUGCCUUCCAUUGGUGCUUGGUAAUGCUCCGUGGUUUUGGAUCUCACAGGCCUGUGAGGAUGGAGGCAGACUUUGCCUUUCAGCAUCUUCACCUUCUUCCUUCCUAGUUUGUAACAGGAAGACGGGAAGGGAUACUCUGUUGGUGUUUACAUAGGAAUGGGAAUAUACAAAGUAGAAUGGCAGUUGUUACUGAAGCUUUGACCGAAUGAGAUCUCAACCCUACAUUUACCUCUCAAAGUGCAGUUAUAAUUUUUAUCCAGAAAGUUUCUCUUUCCUCAGAGGAGCCCUUGGUAGCCAUCCUCACUGAUUAAAUAACUCCUUUCAUAGCUGCUCUUACACUUAGAAACGAGAAGGACUGUCCGGUGACCAUUCUGUAUGUAACACUGAACGGGCCAUGCCCUCUAUGGAGAGAUCCAUUCUAAGAACAAGGAUGCUGCCCCUCUGACCACAGCACUGGGAGGUGAGCUCUGUGAUGAGACCCAGUUCCAAGAAAUUACAUGGAAGGGGCAAAAGUAGAACAGCCUUUGGCAUCUGUGUGUAUUCCCAUUAGCCAUGCUCUUUGAAGUUGUCUUCCUUCAUGCACGCAUGCUUGUUGUCAGUACAAAGAUGGAUGCUUGGAGAGGAAUUUUUCAUAAGAGGAAGACUCACAGCAAAGAAGCCGUGCCAGUGCCAGCUCCCAUCUUAGUUACAGUCCGCUUUCAUCCUCAGCAUUAUUUCUGAGUAAUGUGCACACAGAACCGUCCAACACCAAAGUGUUUGUAAGAAUCUGGGCUUUGCUAUCCCAAAGAUGUUUGUAAUGAAAUUGAACAACUGCUUGGUUUCGCUUGAGCAAAUGAACAGCUUUGAUAAAAAGUCUCAAAUAAGCAUUCCACGAUUAGAGCAGCUUAGUAACCAAUUUGGGGGGGGGGGGGAUAAAAUAGAGCAUUUAUAAUAUCCUAUAAUUUCCUCGUUGAUCAGAACAAAAUGUGAAAAAAAAAAAACCAAACUGGUUAUAUUGGGUUAAAAUAAAAAUUAUGGAAGGCAUCUCUAUUGUUACAUUGCUGUAAGCAAGUGAAAAUUAUACCUGUUGUACACGAUCCGCUCAAACCUGAAUCUCAGGCCACUCCUUCCCUGCCUGCCCUGAGACGGAGGGAAGGUCAGGGCUGACCCUCGGAGCAGGAAGGCCCCAUCCCUGAUGCUGCCGCUGCUUACUCUGUGCCUCGGCCCCGUUGUGCAUUCCUCCUGCUCGUUAGGCUGAGGACUCAUCCGUCGCCUCUGUUGUCGGGCACGGCCGGGGGGAGCUGUUGCAUUUGCACGUUAUGUAUGCCUACAGCAGCUUGCGCACCGAAGCCUGCCGGUCGUACAUAAGCAAACCUAGGCUCAGUGCUGCCUGCGUUAGGGCAUUAGUGCUGACGCACGGCUUCUCCGGCAGCGCCGCAGGGGGGUGCAAAGCACCCGCAGCCCGCAUCGCUCCCGGCGGCUGCGGCGUCCCGGAGAGCAGCGCGCAUCGCUGCCGGCACCCGCGCCGUUCCCUGCCUCAGUGACACAGCAGCUGUCUGAGUCAGGCUGCCUGCUGCGCUGUAACCGCUAGCUGGUUUCCAGUAAGGGGGGGGAUUUCAAAGAAGUAACAGCACGCUUCUUGUAAGCGGGGUUUGGCGAAGGACCAAGUGAUGAUUCUCUUUUGAGGGGACAAAAGUGGACUGUUUGUGGUAAGGACGGCUCUACAGAUGAUAGGUGGAAAAAAAAGUUAAAAGGCUGUAGCCGGCAAAUGGUGUGAGCUGACACGCAGCACCACGCCUCCAUCUCAUCAGGCACACCCAAACAGGAUCUGAACCUCCUGAAUGCUGCUGGGUUUUGCACUGUCAUUCCUCAAAGGGAAAGAUGAGCAGAGAUUCACUUUGAACAUCAUAGAACUGCUCAGGUUGCAAAAGACCUUAAAGAUCAUCGAGUCCAACCACAACCUAACCAUGCUACCCUAACUCUAACAACCCUCCGCUAAAUCAUGGCCCUGAGCACCACAUCCAAAUGGUUUUUAAACACAUGCAGGGAUGGUGACUCAACCACCUCCCUGGGAGCCUAUGCCAGUGCUUAAUAACCCUUUCUGUAAAGAAGUGUUUCCUGAUAUCCAACCUAAACUUAUCCUUGUGCAACUUAAGGCCAUUUCCCCUCAUCCUGUCACCUGUCACCAGUGAGAUGAGACCAACCCCACUCUCACUGUAAGCACCUUUCAGAUAUUGAAAGAGAGCAAUAAGGUCUCCCCUCAGCCUCCUUAUCCCCAGACUAAACAGCCUCAGUUCCUUCAGUCUCUCCUUGUAGGGCAUAUUCUCCAAGCCCUUCACAAGCCUUGUUGCCCUUCUCUGGACCUGCUGCAGCACUUCUUUGUCCUUUCUGUACUGAGGUGCCCAAAACUGAACACAGUACUGGAGGUGAGGCCUCAGCAACACCGAGUACAGGGGCAGGAUUAUUUCCCUAGUCGUGCUCACCACACCAUUCCUGAUAUGAGCCAGGAUGCCAUUGGCCUUCUUGGUCACCUGGGCACACUGCUGGCUCAUAUUCAGCUGAACAUCAGGAGGCUUUGAACUGCCUGCCAUGCAAUCCAGGCAGCAGGAACAGCUGGGAGGCUGAGACUGAAUGAUCAUUGCAUUGUAAAGUUCCCCGUCUUUAUGGCACUGGGGUUUGUGCUGCGCAACUGAAUCCUAAUACAGAAGAAUCUUCUUUGAGAAGAAAUUCCUUUCACUUUGCUUUUUGGAAGCUUUUGGGAAGUAGAGAAAGAACAUUGCCUCAUGCUUCUGACUGAGAUUAAACCCUCAGUUUAGAUAGGAGUUCUUCAUGUUUCAUUCUACUAAACUAUUUCAGAGCUUAUGGAAUACAUUUUCUUUUCUUUUGUGGCGUUCAUUGUGGACAAUGAAUAAACAUGAGCAGAUAUAAAAUGUUGAA